AUACGUAGGUGGCAAGCGUUGUCCGGAAUUAUUGGGCGUAAAGCGCGCGCAGGUGGUUCCUUAAGUCUGAUGUGAAAGCCCCCGGCUCAACCGGGGAGGGUCAUUGGAAACUGGGGAACUUGAGUGCAGAAGAGGAUAGUGGAAUUCCAAGUGUAGCGGUGAAAUGCGUAGAGAUUUGGAGGAACACCAGUGGCGAGGGCGACUGCCUGGUCUGUACCUGAAACUGAGGCGCGAAAGCGUGGGAGCAAACAGGAUUAGAUACCCUGGUAGCCCACGCCGUAAACGAUGAGUGCUAAGUGUUGGGGGGUUUCCGCCCCUCAGUGCUGCAGCUAACGCAUUAAGCACUCCGCCUGGGGAGUACGGUCGCAAGACUGAAACUCAAAUGAAUUGGCGGGG
rnacentral:rRNA from 1 species